UUAGAGUUUGAUCCUGGCUCACGAUAAACGCUGUGCGGCGCACAUAAGACAUGCAAGUCGAACGGACUUAACCGAAAGUUUACUUUUGGAGCGGUUAGUGGCGGACUGGUGAGUAACACGUAAGCAACCUGCCUAUCAGAGGGGAACAACAGUUAGAAAUGACUGCUAAUACCGCAUAUGCCUAAGUAUCACAUGGUACAAUAGGGAAAGAAGCAAUUCGCUGAUAGAUGGGCUUGCGUCUGAUUAGAUAGUUGGUGGGGUAACGGCCUACCAAGUCGACGAUCAGUAGCCGGACUGAGAGGUUGAACGGCCACAUUGGGACUGAGAUACGGCCCAGACUCCUACGGGAGGCAGCAGUCGGGAAUAUUGCGCAAUGGAGGAAACUCUGACGCAGUGACGCCGCGUGCAGGAAGAAGGUUUUCGGAUUGUAAACUGCUUUAGACAGGGAAGAAACAGGACAGUACCUGUAGAAUAAGCUCCGGCUAACUACGUGCCAGCAGCCGCGGUAAUACGUAGGGAGCGAGCGUUAUCCGGAUUUAUUGGGUGUAAAGGGUGCGUAGACGGGAAAAUAAGUUAGUUGUGAAAUCCCUCGGCUUAACUGAGGAACUGCAACUAAAACUGUUUCUCUUGACUGCUGGAGAGGAAAGUGGAAUUCCUAGUGUAGCGGUGAAAUGCGUAGAUAUUAGGAGGAACACCAGUGGCGAAGGCGACUUUCUGGACAGUAACUGACGUUGAGGCACGAAAGUGUGGGGAGCAAACAGGAUUAGAUACCGUGGUAGUCCACACCGUAGACGAUGGAUACUAGGUGUAGGUUGUGAUAAACAAUCUGUGCCGUCGCAAACGCAAUAAGUAUCCCACCUGGGGAGUACGGCCGCAAGGUUGAAACUCAAAGGAAUUGACGGGGGCCCGCACAAGCAGUGGAGUAUGUGGUUUAAUUCGAUGCAACGCGAAGAACCUACCAGGGCUUGACAUAUAGAGGAAUAUAUAAGAGAUUAUAUAGCUCUUCGGAGUCUCUAUACAGGUGGUGCAUGGUUGUCGUCAGCUCGUGUCGUGAGAUGUUGGGUUAAGUCCCGCAACGAGCGCAACCCCUGUUCUUAGUUGCCAGCACAUAAUGGUGGGAACUCUAAGAAGACUGCCGGUGACAAAUCGGAGGAAGGUGGGGAUGACGUCAAAUCAUCAUGCCCUUUAUGUCCUGGGCUACACACGUACUACAAUGGCUGUAACAAAGGGAAGCGAAGCCGCGAGGUGGAGCAAAACCCAAAAAAGCAGUCUCAGUUCAGAUUGAAGGCUGAAAUUCGCCUUCAUGAAGUCGGAAUUGCUAGUAAUGGCAGGUCAGCAUACUGCCGUGAAUACGUUCCCGGGACAUUGUACACAGCGCCCGUC
rnacentral:rRNA from 1 species